rnacentral:lncRNA from 1 species
AUUUGAACCCAACAUGGCGGACGCUGAUACAGAAAAUUUCAGGACUGUAACGCCAUUUUGUGAUCAUAACGCAUUGAAAGAAUGCUUGGAUAGAAAUAACGGUGACAGAUCUAAAUGCACAAAAGAAUGGGAGGCAUUUCAACGCUCAUGUUCCGAAAAUAAAAGGUGUUAUUAUACCCAACAGUACUCUGAGUGUUCAGAAGAGUAAUUGAGGGUAUGAACCAAGUGCCUGGUGAGACUGCAAGAUCAAGCCUGACUUUUGCUUCAUCAAUGGAAAUUGCAAGGGAAACAAGAAACUGGCAGUUGUGGUUGUGAUUGAGGUGGGCAGACAGGCAGGUGUAACACGACAUAAGUACAAGAUUGAUUGACAUAAAUGACCUACUUGUCACACCAUCCACAUGUUUGGAAGCAGUGAUAUCGAACGAACUUUCCACUUGUUCCCUUUUGGGAGCAUAGGUGGCCAAAAAGUUUGCACAAGCGUCUAUAAGAGUCCCGACAGACUAAGAUAAUCAAGAAAUAAGCAUAUUGUGAGGAG